CAUGUGGUUUAAUUCGUAAGCAACGCGAAGAACCUACCAGGCCUUGACAUGCAGAGAACUUUCCAGAGAUGGAUGGUGCCUUCGGGAACUCUGACACAGGUGCUGCAUGGCUGUCGUCAGCUUGUGUCGUGAGAUGUUGGGUUAAGUCCGUAACGAGCGCAACCCUUGUCCUUAGUUACCAGCACGUUAUGGUGGGCACUCUAAGGAGACUGCCGGUGACAAACCGGAGGAAGGUGGGGAUGACGUCAAGUCAUCAUGGCCCUUACGGCCUGGGCUACACACGUGCUACAAUGGUCGGUACAAAGGGUUGCCAAGCCGCGAGGUGGAGCUAAUCCCAUAAAACCGAUCGUAGUCCGGAUCGCAGUCUGCAACUCGACUGCGUGAAGUCGGAAUCGCUAGUAAUCGUGAAUCAGAAUGUCACGGUGAAUACGUUCCCGGGCCUU
rnacentral:rRNA from 1 species